rnacentral:rRNA from 1 species
UUGCCUUAAACACACCGCUCGUCACGCGAAAAA